rnacentral:lncRNA from 1 species
GGCUGUUAGACUGAGGCAUGCAAUGAGGAGGUGGUUCUUCCCUUGCAAACGAAACUCAUCUUUACGGAACGACAUCUUUCAGGACUUCAAUUUUAAAACCUACGAAAAAUAAUAAGGGAUAUAAUUGUCAAGACACUGGAAUCAAGAUGAAUGGAAGCUGAAAUAAUCUGGAAAGCAGAAUGGGUGGCAGUUAAAGGAACCUGGAGAAGUGACUGGCCAAGCAGAAGCAAGGGACUGAGGUA